rnacentral:rRNA from 1 species
GUAGGGGGCAAGCGUUAUCCGGAAUUACUGGGUGUAAAGGGAGCGUAGGCGGCACGCCAAGCCAGAUGUGAAAGCCCGAGGCUUAACCUCGGGAUUGCAUUUGGAACUGGCGAGCUAGAGUACAGGAGAGGAAAGCGGAAUUCCUAGUGUAGCGGUGAAAUGCGUAGAUAUUAGGAAGAACACCAGUGGCGAAGGCGGCUUUCUGGACUGAAACUGACGCUGAGGCUCGAAAGCGUGGGGAGCAAACAGGAUUAGAUACCCUGGUAGUCCACGCCGUAAACGAUGAGUGCUAGGUGUCGGGGAGGAAUCCUCGGUGCCGCAGCUAACGCAAUAAGCACUCCACCUGGGGAGUACGACCGCAAGGUUGAAACUCAAAGGAAUUGACGG